CCCCUUGCAGGGUUGCACCUGGAGAGUUUCCAGUCCUCUUCCAGUCUCGGACAAUGGAAGGGAGAGUCAAGCAGAGGCCUACCCAUUCCAUUCCUAGCUUGGCCAGUGGCUAGGGAGUGGAAGGCCAUCUGCUACAAGU